GGGUGAGUUAGCGGCGGACGGGUGAGUCACACGUGGGCAACCUACCCUAUAGUUUGGGAUAACUCCGGGAAACCGGGGCUAAUACCGAAUAAUCUUUUGUCCCUCAUGGGACAAUACUGAAAGACGGUUUCGGCUGUCGCUAUAGGAUGGGCCCGCGGCGCAUUAGCUAGUUGGUGAGGUAACGGCUCACCAAGGCAACGAUGCGUAGCCGACCUGAGAGGGUGAUCGGCCACACUGGGACUGAGACACGGCCCAGACUCCUACGGGAGGCAGCAGUAGGGAAUCUUCCACAAUGGGCGAAAGCCUGAUGGAGCAACGCCGCGUGAGUGAAGAAGGAUUUCGGUUCGUAAAACUCUGUUGUAAGGGAAGAACAAGUACAGUAGUAACUGGCUGUACCUUGACGGUACCUUAUUAGAAAGCCACGGCUAACUACGUGCCAGCAGCCGCGGUAAUACGUAGGUGGCAAGCGUUGUCCGGAAUUAUUGGGCGUAAAGCGCGCGCAGGUGGUUUCUUAAGUCUGAUGUGAAAGCCCACGGCUCAACCGUGGAGGGUCAUUGGAAACUGGGAGACUUGAGUGCAGAAGAGGAUAGUGGAAUUCCAAGUGUAGCGGUGAAAUGCGUAGAGAUUUGGAGGAAACACCAGUGGCGAAGGCGACUAUCUGGUCUGUAACUGACACUGAG
rnacentral:rRNA from 1 species